UACGGAGGAUCCAAGCGUUAUCCGGAUUUAUUGGGUUAAAGGGUGCGUAGGCGGCUUAUUAAGUCAGGGGUGAAAGACGGUGGCUCAACCAUCGCAGUGCCCUUGAUACUGAUGAGCUUGAAUACACUUGAGGUAGGCGGAAUGUGACAAGUAGCGGUGAAAUGCAUAGAUAUGUCACAGAACACCAAAUUGCGAAGGCAGCUUACUAAGGUGCAAUUGACGCUGAGGCACGAAAGCGUGGGGAUCAAACAGG
rnacentral:rRNA from 1 species